rnacentral:lncRNA from 1 species
GCCGCAUGCCCACGGGGAGGAGACUAUUUUCAGCCCCUUUCUAACCAUCUUGAUCGGCCCACAUGGUAACAAAAUAGCUAAGAAAUGUGACUAAGUAAAUCAAAUCAGAUUUAUUUAGAUUUGGGUCAAUUCAAAUCUGAUUUGAACUAAUUUCGAAAAGACUGCUAAUCCUAAUCCAAUUAGGAUUCUUAUUCAAUUCCAACUUGA